UUCCUUUCAAGAGGAAAAGGCUCUUCAAGUCCAAUAACACUUCUUCCCCUCCUUAAUUCUAAAAGAAAAUGAAAGACUUGAACUCGGAAUUGGAGAUGGAGAACUUCCUAAUCAUGCAGGAAAAUGAGAAGUUGAAGAUGUUGGCUGAGUUUAUAAGCCAAGAGAAUAAGGCUCUUCUCAACGAGCUCAACCACCUCCUCGCCAUCGCUGCUGCAGCUGGAAUCCCCAUCCCUCAUGAUCUCAAUAGGUCCACCACCAGCUCCUCAAAGGCCAACAACAAAUCCAACAAGUGAGAUGGAAUUGGAGGCCACACCAACAUGUUUUGUUUUGCUCAUCAUCAACAUUUAGUUUCCGUAUGUCUCAAUUAGAUAAAAGGGUCUCAGUUCUAAGUUGUUUUCUUAUGUUGUUGUGGUUUGUCAAUCGGAUUAUGAUUUGGAAAUGAAUAUUUAGUUUUAUCA